GACGAACGUUGGCGGCGUGCCUAAUACAUGCAAGUAGAACGCUGAAGAGAGGAGCUUGCUCUUCUUGGAUGAGUUGCGAACGGGUGAGUAACGCGUAGGUAACCUGCCUUGUAGCGGGGGAUAACUAUUGGAAACGAUAGCUAAUACCGCAUAACAAUGGAUGACACAUGUCAUUUAUUUGAAAGGGGCAAUUGCUCCACUACAAGAUGGACCUGCGUUGUAUUAGCUAGUAGGUGAGGUAAUGGCUCACCUAGGCGACGAUACAUAGCCGACCUGAGAGGGUGAUCGGCCACACUGGGACUGAGACACGGCCCAGACUCCUACGGGAGGCAGCAGUAGGGAAUCUUCGGCAAUGGGGGCAACCCUGACCGAGCAACGCCGCGUGAGUGAAGAAGGUUUUCGGAUCGUAAAGCUCGGUUGUAAGUCAAGAACGGGUGUGAGAGUGGAAAGUUCACACUGUGACGGUAGCUUACCAGAAAGGGACGGCUAACUACGUG
rnacentral:rRNA from 1 species